UGGGGAAUUUUGGACAAUGGGCGCAAGCCUGAUCCAGCCAUGCCGCGUGCGGGAAGAAGGCCUUCGGGUUGUAAACCGCUUUUGUCAGGGAAGAAACGAUCCGGCCUAAUACGCUGGAUUAAUGACGGUACCUGAAGAAUAAGCACCGGCUAACUACGUGCCAGCAGCCGCGGUAAUACGUAGGGUGCGAGCGUUAAUCGGAAUUACUGGGCGUAAAGCGUGCGCAGGCGGCUUUGCAAGACAGAUGUGAAAUCCCCGGGCUUAACCUGGGAACUGCAUUUGUGACUGCAAGGCUGGAGUACGGCAGAGGGGGAUGGAAUUCCGCGUGUAGCAGUGAAAUGCGUAGAUAUGCGGAGGAACACCGAUGGCGAAGGCAAUCCCCUGGGCCUGUACUGACGCUCAUGCACGAAAGCGUGGGGAGCAAACAGG
rnacentral:rRNA from 1 species